CACUGCCCGUCACUACUACUGAGUGAAUGAUUUAGUGAGGUCUUCAGACUGGCUCUGAAAGCAGCUUUUGUGUUGUGUCGGCGUGCUGGAAAGAUGACCAAACUGGAUCAUUUAGAGGAAGUAAAAGCCGUAACAAGGUUUCCAUAGGUGAACUUGUGGAAU
rnacentral:ncRNA from 1 species